AGAGUUUGAUCCUGGCUCAGAACGAACGCUGGCGGCAGGCUUAACACAUGCAAGUCGAGCGCCCCGCAAGGGGAGCGGCAGACGGGUGAGUAACGCGUGGGAAUCUACCCAUCCCUACGGAACAACUCCGGGAAACUGGAGCUAAUACCGUAUACGCCCUUAGGGGGAAAGAUUUAUCGGGGAUGGAUGAGCCCGCGUUGGAUUAGCUAGUUGGUGGGGUAAAGGCCUACCAAGGCGACGAUCCAUAGCUGGUCUGAGAGGAUGAUCAGCCACAUUGGGACUGAGACACGGCCCAAACUCCUACGGGAGGCAGCAGUGGGGAAUAUUGGACAAUGGGCGCAAGCCUGAUCCAGCCAUGCCGCGUGAGUGAUGAAGGCCUUAGGGUUGUAAAGCUCUUUCACCGGUGAAGAUAA
rnacentral:rRNA from 1 species